AAACAAAAAUACUAUAGUAUUAAAAUCUAAAAAAUUAGAUCUAAACAAAACCUAAAAGAGACACUUGGUUAUUGUUUUUGUUUUUGCAAAGAGGCUACAGAGCCACUGGAAUUCUGGGUACACAUGGGGCACCCACCGGAGUUUAGGGUGCCGUACAGAAUAGUAUGCAGAAGCUUCUUGUGGGCACCGGAAUUGUCUGGUCACUGGAGGAAGGGCCCACCAAUGGUCGGAAAUGGCGCCCUAGCGGGUAUCAGAAUUCCCUGGUGACUCCACCGGAGCUUUUCCGUAGAAGCUGCAGCAAAUGUAUUAUUUGGAUUUCUAUAUAUACUCUCCAUCUUAUUCUUUUGGAUCAGUCUUUAAUGGGAGUUUUAUCUGAGUUUCAUUCAUAUUAAAUAGGCUGCCACAUAGACAUUUUAGAUGAUAUGGCAGCGUAUUUAAGAAGAGAGAGAAGAAAUGGGUUUCAUCUAGAUGAAACUCUCUUGGCACGAUUACCAACUCUCUAUGAGUCUUGAAAUUAAAUGUUUAUGAAACUAUGGAAUGAAACUCUCCAUUGAGAGUGGAUAUUUCAUUCAAGUUUCAUUUUAUUUCAUAUGACAUGGCAACCUUGGAAACAACGCUAUGAAAUUCUCUACUGAGACUGGCCUAAGACUACUUAGGGCACUCCCAAUGUAGAAAUCACCAUAGUUUCUAUAGACAUUAAUUAUGGUGCCAUCUAAGCAUUUUGAUGAUAUGGCAAGGUAGUUAUUGAAGAGAGAGAGCAAAAAUCAUAGAAACUGGGUCUAACUUAGAAACCUACGCGAAAUCCAAGACAUAAAGUGAUAUGAUUGGUUGAGAAUGAAGAAAGAAUAAAUAUGAUUGGAUAACAAAUUAUUGUAUAGAAACUAUCUAUUGGAAACAUAGUUUCUAUACAUAGUGUUUAUAGAAAUUAAUAGGUAU
rnacentral:lncRNA from 1 species